rnacentral:rRNA from 1 species
UACGUAGGGUGCAAGCGUUGUCCGGAAUCAUUGGGCGUAAAGCGCGUGUAGGCGGUCCGGUAAGUCCGCUGUGAAAGUCGGGGGCUCAACCCUCGAAUGCCGGCGGAUACUGUCGGGCUAGAGUGCGGAAGAGGCGAGUGGAAUUCCUGGUGUAGCGGUGAAAUGCGCAGAUAUCAGGAGGAACACCAAUUGCGAAGGCAGCUCGCUGGGACGUUACUGACGCUGAGACGCGAAAGCGUGGGGAGCAAACAGG